AGACGACCCGAUCUGUGACUUGAUUCCUAUAUACCUUGAUAUAUUUAGAGGAAACCCAAAUUUUCUUCAGCAGUUUCUGGACAGCUAUAAACUUCCUCUGGCAAGAAGGUCGCAAAAUUUUGAUUCCGGUGACAAAUCACACAGACAUUCAUAUCGUAUUAUGUGCUAUUGCAUCUUGCAUGAAGAGGAUAUCUUGGGUGCCAUGUCCAGCAUAUGGAAGGAAUUGAAAACGGCCAAA
rnacentral:misc_RNA from 1 species